rnacentral:rRNA from 1 species
AUUGAACGCUGGCGGCAGGCCUAACACAUGCAAGUCGAGCGAGCGGCGGACGGGUGAGUAAUGUAUGGGGACUGCCCGAUAGAGGGGGAUAACUACUGGAAACGGUAACUAAUACCGCAUACUAUCGGAUAACCCAUAUGGGAUUAGCUAGUAGGUGAGGUAAUGGCUCACCUAGGCGACGAUCCCUAGCUGGUCUGAGAGGAUGAUCAGCCACACGGGGACUGAGACCCGGCCCAUACUCCUACGGAGGCAGCAGUGGGGAAUAGUGCACAAGGGGCGCAAGCCUGAUCCAGCCAUCCCGCGUGUAUGAUGAAGGCCGUCGGGUUGUAAAGUACUUUUGGCAGAGAAGCGGUAUCUGCAGAAUAAGCACCGGCUAACUACGUGCCAGCAGCCGCGGUAAUUC